rnacentral:rRNA from 1 species
AGUAAAGUGGCGCACGGGUGAGUAACACGUGGAUCAUCUACCUCUUGGUGGGGAAUACCCCUGGGAAACCGGGGAUAAUACCGCAUAAGCCUGCAAAGGGAAAGCAGCAAUGCGCCGAGAGAGGAGUCCGCGGCCGAUUAGCUAGUUGGCGGGGUAACGGCCCACCAAGGCGAAGAUCGGUAGCCGGCCUGAGAGGGCACACGGCCACACUGGCACUGAAACACGGGCCAG